CUGGGCUAUGGGUCCCCGUCGGGGAUCGGGGGCGGGGACGGGGAGUAUAUCACUUUCGGGGAUCGGGGAUGGGAAGUGUAGUCCCCGGCCCCACUUCGCCCCGUUGUCAUCCCUAUCUCUCACUCACUCUCUGGGUCUCGAUCUCUCUCUCUCUCUCCCCUCUCUAAACCCUAAUCUCUCUCAACCGAUCGAAUCAACCUUCUUCAACCCCGUUUGAUCUAAUCUCAGAGUGAUUGGUGAUUCAUCUCAGAUCCAAUCUCAGAGCGAUUUACAAUUUCGAUUUUGAGAUUUCGAAACUCCCCCGCCUCCACCAUCUGCACCGGCGAUAGGAGCGAGCACCAUCGUCUACGAAGGGAUGUCAUUGAAGCUAGGGAUUCUGAACACAAGGCAUGGGCUCAUGUUCAGACCUUGAAGUCCUCUCUUGAUGAGCAAACUCUGGAAUUG